UACGUAGGGGGCAAACGUUGCUCGGAAUUACUGGGGCGUAAAGGGUGUGUAGGUGGCUGAGCAAGUCAAAGAUGAAAUCCCAAGGCUCAACCUCGGAAUUGUCUUUGAAACUGUUCAGCUUGAGGAUAGUUGAGGAGGACGGAAUUCCCGGUGGAGCGGUGAAAUGCGUAGAUAUCGGGAGGAACACCAGAGGCGAAGGCGGUUCUCUAAACUAUUCCUGACACUGAGACACGAAAGCUAGGGGAGCAAACGGGAUUAGAUACCCGCGUA
rnacentral:rRNA from 1 species